GAAGGGCUGAUCCCCAUUGGGGAAGGAUCUUGGGUUGGAGAUCUUGCCUUUGUGGAGUCUUUCAUGUGUGUCUAGAUCUUUGGAGACAGCCUCCAGUGCUUCAGAGGAAGGGAGAUGGAAAGGAUAUGCUCUCAGGAGACAGGUUAUGAAUCAAGAUUGCUUCAUACGGAACACUGACAGGCAGCCAAAGUUUAUGCUGGCUGACACCUCUCUCGCCAUUGUGUCCAGAACUGUUUGAAGUUCUCAGCCUGUUGGAUAAAAUGCUAUUGUGCCCAAAGCCUUGACACGCGAAAGACAACAAACAGAUGACAGUAGUACAAAUACCUGGUUGUUGCAGGCUUGAUUUUGACAGUGGUAAUGGAUAAACCAGCUCUGGAAAGCACU
ensembl:lncRNA